UACGGGGGGGGCAAGCAUUGUUCGGAAUUACUGGGCGUAAAGGGCUCGUAGGCGGCCAACUAAGUCGGAUGUGAAAUCCCCAGGCUCAACCUGGGAACUGCAUCCGAUACUGGAUGGCUUGAAUUCGGGAGAGGGAUGCAGAAUUCCAGGUGUAGCGGUGAAAUGCGUAGAUAUCUGGAGGAAUACCGGUGGCGAAGGCGGCAUCCUGGACCGACAUUGACGCUGAGGAGCGAAAGCCAGGGGAGCAAACGGG
rnacentral:rRNA from 1 species